AUUGAACGCUGGCGGCAUGCCUUACACAUGCAAGUCGAACGGCAGCACGGAGCUUGCUCUGGUGGCGAGUGGCGAACGGGUGAGUAAUAUAUCGGAACGUACCCUAGAGUGGGGGAUAACGUAGCGAAAGUUACGCUAAUACCGCAUACGAUCUAAGGAUGAAAGUGGGGGAUCGCAAGACCUCAUGCUCGUGGAGCGGCCGAUAUCUGAUUAGCUAGUUGGUAGGGUAAAAGCCUACCAAGGCAUCGAUCAGUAGCUGGUCUGAGAGGACGACCAGCCACACUGGAACUGAGACGCGGUCCAGACUCCUACGGGAGGCAGCAGUGGGGAAUUUUGGACAAUGGGCGAAAGCCUGAUCCAGCAAUGCCGCGUGAGUGAAGAAGGCCUUCGGGUUGUAAAGCUCUUUUGUCAGGGAAGAAACGGUGAGAGCUAAUAUCUCUUGCUAAUGACGGUACCUGAAGAAUAAGCACCGGCUAACUACGUGCCAGCAGCCGCGGUAAUACGUAGGGUGCAAGCGUUAAUCGGAAUUACUGGGCGUAAAGCGUGCGCAGGCGGUUUUGUAAGUCUGAUGUGAAAUCCCCGGGCUCAACCUGGGAAUUGCAUUGGAGACUGCAAGGCUAGAAUCUGGCAGAGGGGGGUAGAAUUCCACGUGUAGCAGUGAAAUGCGUAGAUAUGUGGAGGAACACCGAUGGCGAAGGCAGCCCCCUGGGUCAAGAUUGACGCUCAUGCACGAAAGCGUGGGGAGCAAACAGGAUUAGAUACCCUGGUAGUCCACGCCCUAAACGAUGUCUACUAGUUGUCGGGUCUUAAUUGACUUGGUAACGCAGCUAACGCGUGAAGUAGACCGCCUGGGGAGUACGGUCGCAAGAUUAAAACUCAAAGGAAUUGACGGGGACCCGCACAAGCGGUGGACGAUGUGGAUUAAUUCGAUGCAACGCGAAAAACCUUACCUACCCUUGACAUGGCUGGAAUCCCCGAGAGAUUGGGGAGUGCUCGAAAGAGAACCAGUACACAGGAGCUGCAUGGCUGUCGUCAGCUCGUGUCGUGAGAUGUUGGGUUAAGUCCCGCAACGAGCGCAACCCUUGUCAUUAGUUGCUACGAAAGGGCACUCUAAUGAGACUGCCGGUGACAAACCGGAGGAAGGUGGGGAUGACGUCAAGUCCUCAUGGCCCUUAUGGGUAGGGCUUCACACGUCAUACAAUGGUACAUACAGAGCGCCGCCAACCCGCGAGGGGGAGCUAAUCGCAGAAAGUGUAUCGUAGUCCGGAUUGUAGUCUGCAACUCGACUGCAUGAAGUUGGAAUCGCUAGUAAUCGCGGAUCAGCAUGUCGCGGUGAAUACGUUCCCGGGUCU
rnacentral:rRNA from 1 species